GAUUGAACGCUGGCGGCAGGCCUAACACAUGCAAGUCGGACGGUAGCACAGAGGAGCUUGCUCCUCGGGUGACGAGUGGCGGACGGGUGAGUAAUGUCUGGGGAUCUGCCCGAUAGAGGGGGAUAACCACUGGAAACGGUGGCUAAUACCGCAUAACGUCGCAAGACCAAAGAGGGGGACCUUCGGGCCUCUCACUAUCGGAUGAACCCAGAUGGGAUUAGCUAGUAGGCGGGGUAACGGCCCACCUAGGCGACGAUCCCUAGCUGGUCUGAGAGGAUGACCAGCCACACUGGAACUGAGACACGGUCCAGACUCCUACGGGAGGCAGCAGUGGGGAAUAUUGCACAAUGGGCGCAAGCCUGAUGCAGCCAUGCCGCGUGUAUGAAGAAGGCCUUCGGGUUGUAAAGUACUUUCAGCGGGGAGGAAGGCGAUGUGGUUAAUAACCGCGUCGAUUGACGUUACCCGCAGAAGAAGCACCGGCUAACUCCGUGCCAGCAGCCGCGGUAAUACGGAGGGUGCAAGCGUUAAUCGGAAUUACUGGGCGUAAAGCGCACGCAGGCGGUCUGUUAAGUCAGAUGUGAAAUCCCCGGGCUUAACCUGGGGAACUGCAUUUGAAACUGGCAGGCUUGAGUCUCGUAGAGGGGGGUAGAAUUCCAAGUGUAGCGGUGAAAUGCGUAGAGAUCUGGGAGGAAUACCGGUGGCGAAGGCGGCCCCCUGGACGAAGACUGACGCUCAGGUGCGAAAGCGUGGGGAGCAAACAGGAUUAGAUACCCCUGGUAGUCCACGCCGUAAACGAUGUCGACUUGGAGGUUGUUCCCUUGAGGAGUGGCUUCCGGAGCUAACGCGUUAAGUCGACCGCCUGGGGAGUACGGCCGCAAGGUUAAAACUCAAAUGAAUUGACGGGGGCCCGCACAAGCGGUGGAGCAUGUGGUUUAAUUCGAUGCAACGCGAAGAACCUUACCUACUCUUGACAUCCACGGAAUUUGGCAGAGAUGCCUUAGUGCCUUCGGGAACCGUGAGACAGGUGCUGCAUGGCUGUCGUCAGCUCGUGUUGUGAAAUGUUGGGUUAAGUCCCGCAACGAGCGCAACCCUUAUCCUUUGUUGCCAGCGAUUCGGUCGGGAACUCAAAGGAGACUGCCGGUGAUAAACCGGAGGAAGGUGGGGAUGACGUCAAGUCAUCAUGGCCCUUACGAGUAGGGCUACACACGUGCUACAAUGGCGCAUACAAAGAGAAGCGACCUCGCGAGAGCAAGCGGACCUCAUAAAGUGCGUCGUAGUCCGGAUCGGAGUCUGCAACUCGACUCCGUGAAGUCGGAAUCGCUAGUAAUCGUGGAUCAGAAUGCCACGGUGAAUACGUUCCCGGGCCUUGUACUCACCGC
rnacentral:rRNA from 1 species